ACGGACACAUCACGUGGGAACACCGAUUCCAGUGCGACCACCGAAGUUAAGCAACGUCGAGCGUGGUUAGUACCUAGAUGGAUGACUGUCUGGGGAUGCCAGGUAUUGUAAG